rnacentral:rRNA from 1 species
UACGUAGGUGGCAAGCGUUGUCCGGAUUUAUUGGGUUUAAAGGGUGCGUAGGCGGUUCCAUAAGUCAGUGGUGAAAUACGGCAGCUCAACUGUCGAGGUGCCAUUGAUACUGCGGAACUUGAGUACUGAUGAGGUAGGCGGAAUUGACGGUGUAGUGGUGAAAUGCUUAGAUAUCGUCAAGAACACCGAUAGCGAAGGCAGCUUACCAAGCAGUAACUGACGCUGAGGCACGAAAGUGCGGGGAUCAAACAGG